AAUCAACGCUGGCGGCGUGCCUCAGACAUGCAAGUCGAACGCGAAAGUCCCCUUCGGGGGACAAGUAGAGUGGCGCACGGGUGAGUAACACGUAGGUAAUCUACCUUUGGAUGGGGAAUAACAACCGGAAACGGUUGCUAAUACCGCAUAAUGCAGCGGCACCUAAUGGUGACAGUUGUUAAAGCGGGGGGAUCGAAAGACCUCGCGUCUAAAGAGGAGCCUGCGGCGGAUUAGCUAGUUGAAGGUAAUGGCUUACCAAGGCUACGAUCCGUAACCGGCCUGAGAGGGCGGUCGGUCACACUGACACUGACAUACGGGUCAGACUCCUACGGGAGGCAGCAGUCGGGAAUUUUGGGCAAUGGGCGAAAGCCUG
rnacentral:rRNA from 1 species